rnacentral:rRNA from 1 species
GACGAACGCUGGCGGCGUGCUUAACACAUGCAAGUCGAACGGAAAGGCCCUGCUUUUGUGGGGUGCUCGAGUGGCGAACGGGUGAGUAACACGUGAGUAACCUGCCCUUGACUUUCGUAUAACUUCAGGAAACUGAGGCUACUACCGGAUAGGAGCUCCUGCUGCAUGGUGGGGGUUGGAAAGUUGCGGCGUGUGGGGAUGGACUAGCGGCUUAUCAGCUUGUUGGUUGGGUAGUGGCUUACCCAGGCUGUGGCGGGUAGGUGGCCUGGGAGGGUGGACGGCCACAUGAGGACUGCGGGACGGCCCAGUGUCCAACGGGAGGCAGCGGGGGGGAGCAUUGCACAAUGAGCGGAAGCCUGAUGCAGCGGCGCCGCGUGCGGGAUGACGGCCUUCGGGUUGUAAACCGCUUUCGCCUGUGACGAAGCGUGUGUGACGGUAAUGGGUAAAGAAGCACCGGCUAACUACGUG